rnacentral:rRNA from 1 species
CUUGGUCAUUUAGAGGAGUAAAAGUCGUAACAAGGUUUCCGUAGGUGAACCUGCGGAAGGAUCAUUAUUGAAAUUAUAGGUGAGGGUUGUAGCUGGCCCCUCGGGGCAUGUGCACGCCCGAGCCCUUAAAUCCCACACACACCUGUGAACCUAUUGUAAGGGCCCGUAAAAAAGGCCUUUACGUCUUUAUCACCUACCCGAAGUCUCAUAGAAUGUAAAUGUUAUGUCCUCGCCUUAAAAAAGCGUUGAUAAAAAAAAAUUAUACAACUUUCAACAACGGAUCUCUUGGCUCUCGCAUCGAUGAAGAACGCAGCGAAAUGCGAUAAGUAAUGUGAAUUGCAGAUUUUCAGUGAAUCAUCGAAUCUUUGAACGCACCUUGCGCUCCUUGGUAUUCCGAGGAGCAUGCCUGUUUGAGUGUCAUUAAAUUCUCAAACUCUGAUUGAUUUGUUUCAAUCGGAGGUUUGGAUUUGGAGUGUGCCGGCGUCAAGUCGGCUCCUCUUGAAUGCAUCAGCGGAAUCCCAUUCAUUUCGGACGUCAGUGUGAUAAUCAUGUUGCGCUGUCUUUGCGAUCUUGAAAGCCCGCUCACAAUGGUCUUCGGACAAACCUCACAUAUCAUAUUUGACCUCAAAUCAGGUAGGACUACCCGCUGAACUUAAGCAUAUCAAUAAGCGGANGA